CCACUGGCUUAAGACUAAAAGCAUGGGAAAAAAAGCAUCUUUCUGAUAUGAUCACAUGUAUAGCGUAUAGCCAGAUGUCUAUAAAUCACAUAGAUAGAAGGAACAAGACUGCAAUCUUAUUAGAAUCCCCCAUUCACUUUUAUGGGCACUUCUUGCACAGCCCAUAUAGGCUAAAAGCUACAGCCCCAAUGGAUCACGCCUUUGGAAUACGAUUAGGCCUACAGCAUAUUUGCUUUGUGCCUGAGUUUUCAAUGGUACUCUCCUCACCAAGUGGGCCAAGAGGAAUGAUAUGUGAAUUUGAACGGAAUAUUUGAUGUUUGGCCCAUUUUAAACAGACAAUGAGAAACACUACCUUUUUGACUGAUGAGGGCUUCUAUGAAAAUGAAACAACUGACUUUCGUUAGAAUACUGGCGUUUGGUUUGUUUAGCUGGAGCAGGCCAGACGGCUCAAGUUAAGUAGUCUAAUGUUACAAAAGAUGUCUUGCCGCACCCGCGAUACCUACAUUUUAAAACUAGGCCAAAAGGAGUACCUCUUCCAAGUAGCCCAAUUCAGUGGGAAACCCUCGGACCUGGAAACACAGCUUGUGCGGUACCAUACAGCAACUUGCGCCAUUGAAAUAGGCUACAUUGUGUACAGGCUUGUAUGACAGAUGAAUACUUGCAUCGUGACUUCAAUUCAAGGAGAGUACAAUCCACAGAAGUAAGGCUGAAUUUCUUUUGCCAUUGCGAUUUCAUGUCUCAUGACCACAGAACUGAAUGUUGAUCACGACUUUGGUGAAGAAGAUUCGUGGGAAUUCUGGGUAAGAUCCAAGCGAAUUCUGGGUAGAAUAAAACCAAUAAAAAAUGGAGGUUCUUGUGGAUAGUUUGACACAUAACACCAGUAGCCUACCCUACCAGCUUUGUCGCAAUAAUAUCAGGAACUUUAUAAGAAAGCAUUAGCAUACAAAACUGCCGUAAUUUACACCUGUGAACUAAAGCGUCUUUGCACCUUCCUCCUUGACAAAUCGCAUAUGAAAUAACACAUUUUCCGGCCUUAAGUUCUUAACAAUCAAGGGCGAUGGACCAUUUUUACCAGGCGCCUCCAUCGUGCGGCAAGACCAAGCGGUGCAUUCCACGGGAUUCAAUCAAUUUCUAAAUGCCGGUAAUGAAUUAUUCAGCCGCGCGUGCGCGCGAAGGAGCGAUUCCCUAUCUGAUCACCCGUGCCCUUGGCAGAUUCCAUGUUGUCAUGGGAACUGUCUAGACUCGUGGUCUGAUACCGCGCUACGUUUCAAUGCAAAUGAAUGAGAGAGAAAUCAGAGCAUUUUGUGUGCUAUUGCUGUGGUAACAUAAAUUGCGUGGUCAGGAUCUGACACAUUUCAGAAUUGCAUUUCAAUAGGAACAAUACCAAGGAUCAAACGUUAUUCUUCCAGAUGGUUUAGAGCAGACGUGAAGCGAACAAUGACCUGGAAGACGGUGCCACAACUCCACCUGGUGGCGAAGUAGUGAAACAAUACAAACGUGAGCACGGCAACAAGGCAAGCUGGAAAGGUGUACUCUCAAACAAUUAUUAAACUAAUUAACGACAUUAAUUGAUAAAAGAAUUGUCAGGUAAUUCUACAGGCCAACAAUAGGUUAAAUACUUAAUAAAGCUUGCAGAUGUUUGCUAAUUAAAAAGCAUUUCAUGAGGGUUUGAGUGUGCAUGCCUGAAUUCAUGUGUGUACACACGUAUUUAAUUGCAUUUUUUGUGCUAGUCUUUCCUACCAACCACCCCUGCCUGAUACAGCUUGUCUCCCGUUCAGGCGGAUCAAGGUCAU